rnacentral:rRNA from 1 species
AGAGGAGAGUGGAAUUCCACGUGUAGCGGUGAAAUGCUAAGAGAUGUGGAGGAACACCAGUGGCGAAGGCGACUCUCUGGUCUGUAACUGACGCUGAGGAGCGAAAGCGUGGGGAGCGAACAGGAUUAGAUACCCUGGUAGUCCACGCCGUAAACGAUGAGUGCUAAGUGUUAGGGGGUUUCCGCCCCUUAGUGCUGCAGCUAACGCAUUAAGCACUCCGCCUGGGGAGUACGGUCGCAAGACUGAAACUCAAAGGAAUUGACGGGGGCCCGCACAAGCGGUGGAGCAUGUGGUUUAAUUCGAAGCAACGCGAAGAACCUUACCAGGUCUUGACAUCCUCUGACAAUCCUAGAGAUAGGACGUCCCCUUCGGGGGCAGAGUGACAGGUGGUGCAUGGUUGUCGUCAGCUCGUGUCGUGAGAUGUUGGGUUAAGUCCCGCAACGAGCGCAACCCUUGAUCUUAGUUGCCAGCAUUCAGUUGGGCACUCUAAGGUGACUGCCGGUGACAAACCGGAGGAAGGUGGGGAUGACGUCAAAUCAUCAUGCCCCUUAUGACCUGGGCUACACACGUGCUACAAUGGACAGAACAAAGGGCAGCGAAACCGCGAGGUUAAGCCAAUCCCACAAAUCUGUUCUCAGUUCGGAUCGCAGUCUGCAACUCGACUGCGUGAAGCUGGAAUCGCUAGUAAUCGCGGAUCAGCAUGCCGCGGGU